rnacentral:rRNA from 1 species
ACUCAAAUGAAUAGACGGGGGCCCGCACAAGCGGUGGAGCAUGUGGUUCAAUUCGAUGCAACGCGAAGAACCUUACCGGGGUUUGAACUGUAGUGGAAAACUCCAGAGAUGGAGCCCCCUAGCAAUAGGCCGCUGCAGAGGUGCUGCAUGGCUGUCGUCAGCUCGUGUCGUGAGAUGUUGGGUUAAGUCCCGCAACGAGCGCAACCCUUGCUGUUAGUUGCUCAUUCGCCGUAAGGCGAGUAGCACUCUAACUAGGACUGCUGGUGAUAAACCGGAGGAAGGUGGGGAUGACGUCAAGUCAUCAUGGCCUUUAUGUCCCGGGCUACACACGUGCUACAAUGGCCGGUACAGAGGGUUGCUAAGCCGCAAGGUGGAGCCAAUCCCAAAAAACCGGCCUCAGUUCGGAUUGCACUCUGCAACUCGAGUGCAUGAAGGUGGAAUCGCUAGUAAUCGCGGAUCAGCAUGCCGCGGUGAAUACGUUUCCGGGCCUUGCACACACCGCCCGU